rnacentral:rRNA from 1 species
GGAGGGCAAGUCUGGUGCCAGCAGCCGCGGUAAUUCCAGCUCCAAUAGCGUAUAUUAAAGUUGCUGCAGUUAAAAAGCUCGUAGUUGGAUUUCUGGCCUGAUAUAUUUUGCCGGCCACGGUUUCGCGUGUUAGUGCUUGAUAUUCUGGCCAUCCUUCCAAUGGCUAUUCAUCCUUCUUCAUUGAGGUGGUGAGUGGUAUUGGAUCUUUUACUUUGAAAAAAUUAGAGUGUUUAAAGCAGGC